GCUCCCAUGGCGUAGUGGUCACUGCGCUCGCCUUGCACGCGGGAGACCUGGGUUCGAUUCCCGGCGGGGCCA
rnacentral:tRNA from 1 species